rnacentral:tRNA from 1 species
GGAAGGGUGCCCGAGUUGGUUAUGGCGCCAGGUUAAGGUUAGCUUAACAUCUGUUUCCUGGUGGGGUAACCCGCGCGAGUUCGAGUCUCGUCCCUUUCA